rnacentral:lncRNA from 1 species
ACGCUGCAGGUGUGAUCGAAGCUUCGAAGUGUAAGAGCGGUCAUCCUUGCUCCUAAUGUCCAGUUUAGACGUUUUCCCCACCUGGACAAAUGUCUUAUGUAGACGUCGAUCUGGUGUGAAUAUUUCAUUGCACACGCCUAUAAUUGGGCACACCGAGCUCCACCCAGCUGCGCUCUGCGGGUGCAGUUCUCUUGAAGACGCCCGGUGAUAAACCGUGCUGACGCUGAGCUGUGUGCCUCUCUAAAGAGAGAGAGAGAGAGAGAGAGAGAGAGAGAGAGAGAGAGAGAGAGAGAGAGAGAGAGAGAGAGAGAGAGAGAGAAGGAAUCCUAUAAACUUGGGAGCUAAAUACGCAAGUGAUCACUCACCCCUAACAUCCAUGACAUCUCACCGCUACACGCCAGACUAUUCUACCGUUCACAGUGAAAUGGCAAGAAAAACGGACUUCCCUUCCCCUUAUUACGGAGAACCACGGAGGUUUGACCCAACAUUCAGAGGACCAAUUCAAAACAGAAGCUGCACAGACGUGUUUGGCUGUGUGAUCUUUAUCAUCGCCAUCGUCGGAUAUGUUGCACUGGGCA